GACGAACGCUGGCGGCGUGCUUAACACAUGCAAGUCGAACGGAAAGGCCCUGCUUUUGUGGGGUGCUCGAGUGGCGAACGGGUGAGUAACACGUGAGUAACCUGCCCUUGACUUUGGGAUAACUUCAGGAAACUGGGGCUAAUACCGGAUAGGAGCUCCUGCUGCAUGGGGGGGGUUGGAAAGUUUCGGCGGUUGGGGAUGGACUCGCGGCUUAUCGGCUUGUUGGUGGGGUAGUGGCUUUCCAAGGCUUUGACGGGUAGCCGGCCUGGGAGGGUGACCGGCCACAUUGGGACUGAGAUACGGCCCAGACUCCUACGGGAGGCAGCAGUGGGGAAUAUUGCACAAUGGGCGGAAGCCUGAUGCAGCAACGCCGCGUGCGGGAUGACGGCCUUCGGGUUGUAAACCGCUUUCGCCUGUGACGAAGCGUGAGUGACGGUAAUGGGUAAAGAAGCACCGGCUAACUACGUG
rnacentral:rRNA from 1 species